rnacentral:rRNA from 1 species
CCAAUAGCGUAUAUUAAAGUUGUUGCAGUUAAAAAGCUCGUAGUUGAAUUUCGGGGUUAGUAGGUUGGUCGUGCCUAUGGUAUGCACUGGCUUUACUGAUUCCUCCUUCUUGAAGAACUGUAAUGUCAUUAAUUUGGUGUUGCAGGGAAACAGGACUGUUACUUUGAAAAAAUUAGAGUGUUUAAAGCAGGCUAACGCUUGAAUACAUUAGCAUGGAAUAAUGAAAUAGGACGUUCGAUCCUAUUUUGUUGGUUUCUAGGAUUGACGUAAUGAUUAAUAGGGAUAGUUGGGGGCAUUAGUAUUCAAUUGUCAGAGGUGAAAUUCUUGGAUUUAUUGAAGACUAACUACUGCGAAAGCAUUUGCCAAGGAUGUUUUCAUUAAUCAAGAACGAAAGUUAGGGGAUCGAAGACGAUCAGAUACCGUCGUAGUCUUAACCAUAAACUAUGCCGACUAGGGAUCGGAUGAUGUUAAUUUUUUAAUGACUCAUUCGGCGCCUUACG